CUGGUCGGACUUUCUGCCCCCU
rnacentral:miRNA from 1 species